CCGCCGACCUAUUAAUGAUCCGA
rnacentral:siRNA from 1 species